UCCUAAAUAAAUCUAGCAAGCUCGGCUCGGCAAGAUUCGGAAGGAUAUUCUUUAACAUUUCCAUGGUUAGGAAUUGGAUUGGAGAUUAAGGGAAUUCAUCUGGGAUUUCCAUCAAAUAGAACACUGAGAUAUCUAAUAUCAACGCCAAUAAAGCAGACUGGUAGCGGCGGGAUGUUUACAUGUCAAAACCCUGAACUCUACUGAUGAGAACUGACCGCGGCUGUAUUGAGGUGUUGUAACUAAUGAAACAGUGACAGAUUUGAUGAGAGUGAGAAAAUAAAAAACCUACGAAGAGAAACACUUAUCUCAGG